GAGACCCCAGACUGGAUGGUGAAUGCUAGAUGGCCAGCGUGACACGGUGACAGUAGGAGACAACGCGUGUGAUUGGCAGCAGGGCAGAGGUUUACCUCUGCCUGCAUUUGACACCGACGCAAGGGGAGCUGUGGCGGUGGUCGCAUGAUGGAUUCGGGUGCAGAACCCAAGCCGAGCUGGGAAGUGUUGGGCCCGUGGAAGGACAAGAAGAUGGGAGGCUCUUCCUUGCCUGCCGGAGACGGGGCUAACGUGGACUCUGCUCUAAGGAAGGAAUUCCUGGCCUGCUGAUGGACCCAUAAUGAACAUGUGGCAUGGUUAUAGCAGGGGUUUUUAGUGAAUGUAGAAGAUGAUAGUUUUACUGGUUUUAGAAUUGUGUUAUUUAGUUUUAGUAGACUGACAACAUUUUAUUGCUUACAUUUUAGGGGUGUUUUUAUUUGUGCUCCCUGGCCUAUUAAUAAACUGUUUCUGAUCAGACCUACUUCAUCUCUGUGCCCGUGGUAUCUGACUUGCUUGCUCCCCCUUGUAUUUUAAAGAAUCUUUCUUUUUAGCACGACAUUCUGGCACGACUGCUUUAAUGUCUCCGUUUGUUGCAUGUUACAUCUGCAAAUGACGCUAUGGAGGGAACGGCUUCAGAUACUCAUCAGAAAAAAACAAAAACAUGGGAGCAGUAAAAAGAAAUAUUCAAAUAUUCAACAGCCGGCUGCUCCCCAACCACAGAAACAUGAUUAACACCUGUGUCAGCAGCACGCUGUGCUGGGGGAGCUGUGGGAGUUACACACUCACCAGGACAAGAGGAGAGAAUUCUAACUGGAUCGUAAAGCUGGGAGGAAGUUUUUAGUUUACAUUUGAUGAUAUCAGACCUUUAACUCCUGAGUACAAGCUCCACAAACUCACCUGUGACUGUGAGGUUGAUGAAGUGACUGAUCUCAGUGUGAACUCUUUUACUUCUCCCAGGGUUCCUCACUGCUACGUGACACUCAUACAUCCCAGUGUCAUUAAACGUGACCUUCUUCAGGAUCAGAGAAACGUCUCCAUCCUUCAUCUCCGGGUCCUUCAGCUUCACUCGGCCAUGAAAAGAUGGAUGUUGGUAGUUUUCAUAGGAGCGUUUGUUCCUGUAGAAGUAGACGUAGCCGUCUGUGUUCAGGUCAGCUCUGCUCCACUUCAGCACUGAGAUUAUUUCUUCUGUGGAAAUCUGACACUGGAGAGUGACGUCCUCUCCAAGCUUCACCUGAACAUCCUGCUGAAGAGCUGAAGAC
ensembl:lncRNA